UGGCGGCGUGCCUAACACAUGCAAGUCGAGCGAGGAGAUUCCUUCGGGAUGAUCCUAGCGGCGGACGGGUGAGUAACACGUGGGCAACCUGCCUCAUAGAGAGGAAUAGCCUUCCGAAAGGGAGAUUAAUACCUCAUAACAUUGCAGUUUCGCAUGGAACAGCAAUUAAAGGAGCAAUCCGCUAUGAGAUGGGCCCGCGGCGCAUUAGCUAGUUGGUGAGGUAACGGCUCACCAAGGCGACGAUGCGUAGCCGACCUGAGAGGGUGAUCGGCCACAUUGGGACUGAGACACGGCCCAGACUCCUACGGGAGGCAGCAGUGGGGAAUAUUGCACAAUGGGGGAAACCCUGAUGCAGCAACGCCGCGUGAGUGAUGACGGCCUUCGGGUUGUAAAGCUCUGUCUUCAGGGACGAUAAUGACGGUACCUGAGGAGGAAGCCACGGCUAACUACGUGCCAGCCGCCGC
rnacentral:rRNA from 1 species